rnacentral:rRNA from 1 species
CCUACGGGAGGCAGCAGUGGGGGAUAUUGGACAAUGGGGGGAACCCUGAUCCAGCGACGCCGAGUGAGUGAAGAAGUAUUUAGGUAUGUAAAGCUCUGUCAGCAGGGAAGAAAGAAAUGACGGUACCUGAGCAAGAAGCCCCGGCUAACUACGUGCCAGCGGCCGCGGUAAUACGUAGGGGGCAAGCGUUAUCCGGAAUUACUGGUUGUAAAGGGAGCGUAGACGGUUAAGUAAGGCUGGAGUGAAAGGCCGGGGCCCAACCCCGGGACUGCUCUGGACACUAUUGAACUUGAGUGCAGGAGAGGUAAGCGGAAUUCCGAGUGUAGCUGUGAACUGCGUAGAUAUUAGGAGGAACACCAGUGGCGAAGGCGGCUUACUGGACUGUAACUGACGUUGAGGCUCGAAAGCGUGGGGAGCAAACCGGAUUAGAUACCCCAGUAGUC